rnacentral:rRNA from 1 species
AGUCGAGCGAAGCGGCUGAAUUGAUUCUUCGGAUGAUUUUCAGUUGACUGAGCGGCGGACGGGUGAGUAACGCGUGGGUGACCUGCCCCAUACCGGGGGAUAACAGCUGGAAACGGCUGCUAAUACCGCAUAAGCGCACAGAGCUGCAUGGCUCGGUGUGAAAAACUCCGGUGGUAUGGGAUGGGCCCGCGUCUGAUUAGGCAGUUGGCGGGGUAACGGCCCACCAAACCGACGAUCAGUAGCCGGCCUGAGAGGGCGACCGGCCACAUUGGGACUGAGACACGGCCCAAACUCCUACGGGAGGCAGCAGUGGGGAAUAUUGCACAAUGGGGGAAACCCUGAUGCAGCGACGCCGCGUGAGCGAAGAAGUAUUUCGGUAUGUAAAGCUCUAUCAGCAGGGAAGAUAAUGACGGUACCUGACUAAGAAGCCCCGGCUAACUACGUGCCAGCAGCCGCGGUAAUACGUAGGGGGCAAGCGUUAUCCGGAUUUACUGGGUGUAAAGGGAGCGUAGACGGCAAGGCAAGUCUGAUGUGAAAACCCAGGGCUUAACCCUGGGACUGCAUUGGAAACUGUCUGGCUCGAGUGCCGGAGAGGUAAGCGGAAUUCCUAGUGUAGCGGUGAAAUGCGUAGAUAUUAGGAAGAA